GACGAACGCUGGCGGCGUGCCUAAUACAUGCAAGUAGAACGCACAGUUUAUACCGUAGCUUGCUACACCAUAGACUGUGAGUUGCGAACGAGUGAGUAACGCGUAGGUAACCUGCCUGGUAGCGGGGGAUAACUAUUGGAAACGAUAGCUAAUACCGCAUAAUAUUAAUUAUUGCAUGAUAAUUAAUUGAAAGGUGCAAUUGCACCACUACCAGAUGGACCUGCGUUGUAUUAGCUAGUAGGUGAGGUAACGGCUCACCUAGGCGACGAUACAUAGCCGACCUGAGAGGGUGAUAGGCCACGCUGGGACUGAGACACGGCCCAGACUCCUACGGGAGGCAGCAGUAGGGAAUCUUCGGCAAUGGACGAAAGGCUGACCGAGCAACGCCGCGUGAGUGAAGAAGGUUUUCGGAUCGUAAAGCUCGGUUGUAAGAGAAGAACGGGUGUGAGAGUGGAAAGUUCACACUGUGACGGUAUCUUACCAGAAAGGGACGGCUAACUACGUG
rnacentral:rRNA from 1 species